rnacentral:tRNA from 5 species
GCGGAUGUGGCUCAGUUGGUAGAGCACAACCUUGCCAAGGUUGGGGUCGCGAGUUCGAAUCUCGUCAUCCGCU